GACGAACGCUGGCGGCGUGCUUAACACAUGCAAGUCGAGCGGAAAGGCCCUUUCGGGGGUACUCGAGCGGCGAACGGGUGAGUAACACGUGAGUAAUCUGCCCUGUGCUCUGGGAUAGCCACCGGAAACGGUGAUUAAUACCGGAUAUGACUGCUGCUCGCAUGGGUGGUGGUGGAAAGUUUUUUCGGCGCAGGAUGUGCUCGCGGCCUAUCAGCUUGUUGGUGAGGUAAUGGCUCACCAAGGCUAUGACGGGUAGCCGGCCUGAGAGGGUGACCGGCCACACUGGGACUGAGACACGGCCCAGACUCCUACGGGAGGCAGCAGUGGGGAAUAUUGGACAAUGGGCGGAAGCCUGAUCCAGCAACGCCGCGUGAGGGAUGACGGCCUUCGGGUUGUAACCUCUUUCAGUACCGACGAAGCGCAAGUGACGGUAGGUACAGAAGAAGGACCGGCCAACUACGUGCCAGCCGCCGCCGUAACAC
rnacentral:rRNA from 1 species